CUAAUGUCAACUGAAAGAACAGGAAUCCAAGGAGAGAAAUAACAGUCCAUGACAUCUUGAAACAACGAGAGAGAGAGGAAUAAACGUUUACUAGCAUACUGAUGUUAGCUUAUCAAUGGCAGGAGUGCCAACCCUGUCCUCGUUUGUUGAUCUGUAAGACAGUGAAGCAUCCAGUCAGUAUUACUUUGACGUUUCAUGGAAUGGGCCUUGUCUCAUAGACAGGGCCAUUUUCUUGGUUUUACAUAUAGUUUGGUUAUUAUUACAUGUCAUAUAAACCACCCAACAACAUAUGGAAAACGUAUAGAUUUGGAACGAAAUAGGAAUCGGUAUCCGAACUUCUUUUACCUGCAUUCGACCAUUUACUUGUCAUGUCAUCUGUAGCUCAGGGUAAUACACACAAGUUAGAUGAUAUACAUCGUCUCAAGCCACGGUUCGAGUCCGCAUAUAGCUCUCUCCAGAAUGGGAGAGGAUCGUACAUUUUGGCCGUGGUUUGCGACGAUGGAUGAUAUAAUGAAAAGUAAAUCUUCCUCUAUCAAUACCUUGAAUUCACAUAAAUCACGUUUAAAUAAUUAGACUAAAAACGUAUGUCUUUGCAUAAUUUUGUUUGAAAAAACAAUACAAUCAGAACUGUCCUUAUUUAAAUUCUUUGUACAAUAUUUUUGCAAGUUUAUAAGAUAUUAGAUUAUAUAUAUAUGAAGAAUUGUUACCAAGAUAAAAUUGAGUCCACUCUUUAAACGGGUCUUUCCAACCAAGAGUUUUGUGAUGUUAGUUUUUCAAUUUUAUUCAGUUUCUUUUCUCCGUCAUUUAACCCUUUGAUAUUAUUUUCAUUUUCAGAAUUUGGAGGGAAUCCGUCCAGCUAUUUUCAUGUUGAUACUGUU